rnacentral:lncRNA from 1 species
GGCUUCUAAGUACAAUUGACCCUCCAAAAACCUAAUUGGGGGUAUUUCCGACGCGAUGGUGCGCUCGGAUUAACGUUAUGAAAAGUCAAAGUAAAGUUAUGAGCAAAAUGGCCUAAUAAGGGUUCGUUUUGCCGCAGGUAAAGAACGAAGCAUCUAAAAAUCCCAAGAAAAUCAUCGGAGCACCUUUGAAAGCCUACGAGGUGGGUGGUGCUUCUCAAACUCAUUGAAAUUCUCUCUAUGCCUAAUGUGUCAUUCUUUGAGCAUAUGUUAUAUAUAUUGUUGCAUGCAUUUUAGGGUAAAGUAACGAUGAAAUGUGAUGAUUGCAUGAUUGUUAGUUCAACGUGCCAAAUGUGAUGGUUGAGAACCUUAUGAAUGUAAAAACCCUAGAUGUAUGCAUGAGAGAAAAUGUAAGCACCCAAAGUGAGCAAAAGAACAGAGUGACACAAUGACAUAGAUCGAGUGGCAUUCGAUAAAGCUAAUGUGAAAUGACACUAGAGUUAGUGUGAUGUAAAGAACUAAAGUGAUGUAAAGAAUGAAGAAAGUGACAACGUGUAAAGUUAAAGUAAAAUGGGGCAAUAAGAACAAGAAUGCUAGAGUUAGCAAGAGAAAUGAAAAUGUAAAGAAUGUGAUUGCAUGAGUUUGCAACAUAAAGUGAUGUAAAGAACACUAGAGCUAGUGUAAAGUCAAGAUUGAACUUAUAAAUCCUUUGAGUUAAGGAUAUGAUCAUACUUGCUUUGAGUUCCGUGCUCGAGGGCGGUCGCUCCCCCUCGGGCGAUGCGCUCCGGAGUUAUGCAUCCGGGUUGGAGUAGACCCGUAAGGACGGUCCUAGCUGGUGAGUUCCUGCGAUGAUGGACUUAAUGUGAAGCAAGUUAAUGUGGCGAAACCCCCGGGUUAGCCUUGAGAUUAAAGAAUAAAGAAUAAAGAACAAAGAGCAAAGAAUAAAGAACAAAGUACAAAGUAAAGUCAAAGAACUAAUGAGUUUGCAUAAUCUGCAUAUAUUUAAUGUUGAGCAUACUUCUUGCUAUUUGUUCAGGCAUAUUAGCAUCAUGUUAUAGAUUGGUUACUAUACAGCUUAUCCUUUCUAUUAUGCCUGAGUUAGUCCUAGUGGGAAAGUCGGUGAUGUUGAGGCCGAACCCACUGAGAACUUUGUUGUAGUUCUCACCCCACUAUUUCCACAGAGCCAGGACCGAGCGAGCCGGCGAGCGACCGAGGUAAAGGAAUCGCGCCUUAGUCAGAGGCCACCAAUAUUGGGUUUCAUUUUGUAGUAAAGUACCUUAUGAUCAUCUUUUGUAUUUGAUGAUUAGUGAUGUAAAGAAAAGAAUGU